CAUUCUUCUAGCUUGGAAUAUUAAUGACAGUUUCUUUGUAGUGUCUCUGUACGUGACUGGAGAUGCCAUCAUCCCCAGAUGACGUGAACUCACAGUCUCUCUACUAUGGAUUCCCUUUCAUCUGAUGAGAUACUUUGGAAUACGGGUGUGCACUAGUUAUUUCUGCUAAGAUCCUUGCCUCAUCGUGUUGGACUUGAUCAACGGGAGGCAGCAAUGAGAGAGCAGGAAGUGGAAAGGGAAAACCAUUCUCACUUUUCCUUCCUCCAUUCUGAGUUUAAGAAAGCAUGGAUUUGCCGGGCGGUGGUGGUGCACGCCUUUAAUCCCAGCACUCAGGAGGCAGAG